rnacentral:lncRNA from 1 species
UUAUGAUCGUUUAAAGUCGACCCAAAAAUCUGUUUGGCUGCAGUACUUUUGUGUGCAGAAAAUUUCUGCACAUUUACUGUUCAUUGCGUCCACCGUUUUCAAGUUUCGAACAUGAUCGCUUAUAUCCGAUACUCAUUUGUUUUCAGAAAUCUUUAUAUCGUUGGAAAGCUAACUCGAUAAAUUUCGUAUAGAAACUUCGACGAGCAAAUUCCGGUAUAAAUAAAGUCGAUUCCUAUACACAUAUAAUCAAACUAUACACUUGAAACCAUCUCAAAAUAAUCAAUACUCAUACUUAAACUCAUAUAUACCUAACUUAUGAUCAAUACAUAUACUCCAACACAUAUAACCAUGGCUAGUGCACAUAAUUAAGUACGGGGUGUU